rnacentral:rRNA from 1 species
CCUACGGGGGGCAGCAGUGGGGAAUAUUGCACAAUGGGCGAAAGCCUGAUGCAGCGACGCCGCGUGAGUGAAGAAGUAUUUCGGUAUGUAAAGCUCUAUCAGCAGGGAAGAAAAUGACGGUACCUGACUAAGAAGCCCCGGCUAACUACGUGCCAGCAGCCGCGGUAAUACGUAGGGGGCAAGCGUUAUCCGGAUUUACUGGGUGUAAAGGGAGCGUAGACGGCGAAGCAAGUCUGAAGUGAAAACCCAGGGCUCAACCCUGGGACUGCUUUGGAAACUGUUUUGCUAGAGUGUCGGAGAGGUAA